ACUGGGCCCGUUCUGACGCUCAUGUUCGAAAGCGUGGGGAGCAAACAGGAUUAGAUACCCUGCUAGUCCACGCCCUUUACUAUGUGCACUAGGCCCCGGGACUUUCAACGGUUUCGGGGUCGAAGAGAAAUCGAUAUGUGUACCGCCUGGUGAGUUCGCUCGCUAGGCUAAAACUCAAACGAAUUGACGGGGGCUCACACAAGCGCUGGAGCAUGUUGCUUAAUUACGAGCAACACGAAGAACCUUACCAGGGUUUGACAUGCUCGGAUUAACUCUGUGGAAGCAGAGCCACGCCCUCGGCUGGAACGAGUACAGGUGAUGCAUCGCUGUCGUCAGCUCGUGCUGUGAAGUGUCGGGUUAAGUCCAUUUAUGAGCGCACCGCCUAUCGCUAGUUGCCAUCAGGUUAUGCUGGCGACUUUAGCGAGACUGCCGGUGUCUAACCGGAGGAAGGUGGUGAUGACGUCAAGUCGUCAUGGCCCGUAUGCACUCGGGAUGCAAACUUGUUACAAUGGUGUGUACAGACCGACGCGAGUCCGCGAGGGGGAGCAGAU
rnacentral:rRNA from 1 species